rnacentral:rRNA from 1 species
UACGUAGGGACCGAGCGUUGUCCGGAAUCAUUGGGCGUAAAGCGCACGUAGGCGGCUAUUCAAGUCAGAGGUGAAAGCCCGGGGGCUCAACCCCGGAACUGCCUUUGAAACUAGGUAGCUAGAAUCUUGGAGAGGUCAGUGGAAUUCCGAGUGUAGAGGUGAAAUUCGUAGAUAUUCGGAAGAACACCAGUGGCGAAGGCGACUGACUGGACAAGUAUUGACGCUGAGGUGCGAAAGCGUGGGGAGCAACAGG